rnacentral:lncRNA from 1 species
GUUUAAGCAGCGUCAACGUUUCUGUUACUCUCAGUUAAAUCAAUGCCAAUCAGAGAGUGCAGAUUGAGAAACAUCAAAAUUUUCCAAAAUUCUAUGGGUUUUAUUCAUAUCAAGUUGUCAUCUUUACUUUCAGAUGAAGGAGAGCUUUAGAAAGAUGUGUUUGUUGUCUGCGUGCUUCAUUGCAACAGCCCUGCCACACUAGGAGGAAGACAGGUUUUGGGUCCUGUCUUGGUGAUAAAGGUAAAACUAAAGGACAAUCAAAUCUCAUCGAACUUCUCUCUGAGGAGCUGAUGAUGUUUCAGAAACAGUGACAAAGUUCAGAAUCCCAUUCUUCCAUCCUAGAUGGGAAACAUCAACUUUCCUGAUGAAGAGUGUCUGGCAUACUAUAUGCUAAUCCAACAGGACUGUGGUCUUAUAAGAAGAGGAAGACUCUCUCUCCACCAUGAGAAGACACAAUGAGAAGGCUGCCAUCUGCAAGCCAGAAGGAGAGCCCUCGCUGGGAGGUCAGCCAUGCUGGCACCCUGAUCUCAGACUUCCAG